UUUAUUCUUUUAUCCUCUGACAUAUUUCUCCUCACAUGUAUUUGCUUGUAUUCUUCAGAGUUGUUUAGUUUCCAUGACCUAUUUAUUUUGGUUUCUGUUGCCAUUUGGGACCUUAGUUGUAUCUUUAAUGGUCUGUUUUUUCCUUCCUCAUUUCUUCCCAAUUUAGUUAUUUCAUCUACUUCUUCCUCAAACUUUUCCUCCUCUUUAGCAUUCAUAUUUCUCAAUAUAAUUUUCACCGUACUCCUCUCGUAACUCUGAGUCUUCACUGUUUUUUUUUUCCUCUUUGACACCAGACACGCUGACACAUUUUUAUUUCUUUUCUGCCAUGUCCCUCACCAUUGUUUCUCUAUUUUUCAGUAGAUUCACAACUUUUUUUCUAUAUCUUGCCUCUGCCCCUCUUGCUGUUGUUCUAGGAUUUCUCUAAAGCUCGUGUUUUCCUUUUUUUUUUUUCACUUCUCCACUCCUUCAAUUCAUCAUUGACCAUAUGCUUAAUCUUUUCCUCUACCUUUACAGCCACACUCUGCUGAUCAUUUCCUAUCUUCUCUGCUACUUCUCUUUUAGUCAUUUCUUCCAUCUUCUCCAUGUCUUCGUUUGUCCCCAUCACACUAACCUCUUUCCAUUUUAAAAAUUUGUAUAUCAUGUUUUUUUUUAAAUUUUCCAUCCUCAGUUGCGCUAUUUCUGUGUGGCUUUCCAGCUGUUCCUUAGUCAAUCCAACUAUUUCUUCCCUCAACUUCUCUACCAUUUUCUUUGUCUCCUCGUCUCUUCUCCUUUCCUCAUCAUCUCUUUUUUUUACCUCGGUCAGUGCGUGUGCGUGCGUGACAGUGUGUGUGUGUGUGUGUGUGUGUGUGUGUGUGUAUAAUUUUUUUUUUACAUUUCCAAAUUUUAUAUCAAUUUUGUUGCAUGCCUGUUUGUAAUCUGUUCCACCGAGGUAAUACUUCAGAUAGUAAGGUGGAAGGAAAACACAACUUGAGCAAAACACAUCAACACUUUAUUUGGUGUCAUCUUGUUAUGGGAAAGAUAUUUUGCAUGGACAGUCUUGCUAUCAGGACAGUGUUUGCUAAUGGUAGAGUUUUUUUUACAUUGACAAUCUUGCUAUCAGGAUUGCUAAUAGAAGUCUUUUACAUUGACAAUCUUGCUAUCAGGAUUGCUAAUAGAAGUCUUUUACAUUGACAAUCUUACGAUCAGGAUUGCUAAUAGAAGUCUUUUACAUUGACAAUCUUGUUAUCAGGACUGUUUGCGAAUGGAAGUUUUUUAACGCUGACAAUCUUGCCAUCAGGACUGUUUGCUAACACGUGAAUCUUUCUGCAUUGGUCUUCCUGUUUUCGGGACGGCGCUUGCUGUGUGGCUGAGUUGUUUUUUGACCCGUUGUUCAGUGCGCUGUUAGUUUGUUUUGUUGAUUACAUUAUAUAUAUUGUUUUACGACUUAACUGUGAAAAUACAACACUUCUAGCUAACUCCAUCCCAAGAAGGGGAAUUACAGACCCGAACCAGCCACAUGACUUUAUAAAUACUAAUACGACGUGUAAAAAUCUGGCAUAUAGAUGAGCGAUGGAUAAAUUCUGCAGGUUGAGAGUAGAGAUCUUCCUCGGGCCAAAGAAAAUAGUGGCAUUAAAAGUUCUACAAGGGUAACAGAAGACAAAAAGAGAAUAUCUAUUUAGUUUCAGAGGCGACAAGAAGGAUGGAGGCGAUUGUCAUUCUGAACCCCUUGCCAUGUUAGCGUGUUACUUGUGUGCAUAUGUUAAACUGACGAAGAAAAAGGUUUGUUGUGAGUGGAAAUGAUUUUUUUUCUUGAGUAAUGCCAUUGCGUCGUAUUAACUGUUUUCGUAUUUUUUUCUUACAGUAAAGAAAACAGAUGAAGGGCAAAAAAAUGAAAACAAUAAUGAAAAAAAAGCCCUCAAUGUAAGCAUCAGUAUUUAUAAAUUGAAUAGGAUGGCUUGUUAGAUGGAGAGAGAAGCAGUUUACAGUAUUGAGAAUGUCUGUUAGGAUUGAUUGGAAAUGACGUUGUUAGUCGUUGUAGACUGAAUGGGGUGAAUUGAAAAGGAAAUCUUGUUGAAAAAACAGGUAGGUUGGUCUUGAAAAUGUGUUGGGAUUGGUUAAAAAUGACGUUGUUAGUUAAUGAGUAAGUCCACUCUGCUAUGUUGUCUUGAGAACGUUCGUAUUUGUAGACUGAAUGGGGCGACUUAAAAAAAAAAAACAACUUGUAGAAAAAAAAAGUAUAUAGGUAAUGGUCUUGAAAAUGCGUUGGGAUUGGUUAAAAAUGACGUUGUUAGUUAAUGAGUAAGUCCACUCUGCUAUGUUGUCUUGAGAACGUUCGUAUUUGUAGACUGAAUGGGGCGACUUAAAAAAAAAAAUUGUAGAAAAAAAAAGUAUAUAGGUAACGGUCUUGAAAAUGUGUUGGGGUUGGUUGAAAAUGUCGUUGUUAGUUAAUAAGUAAGUCCACUCUGCUAUGUUGUCAUGAGAACGUUCGUAUUUGUAGGCUGAACGGAGGAACUUGAAAAUAAAAAAGCUUGGAAGGAAAAAAAAGUUAAGUCUUGAAAAUAUUUGUAGAAAGUGAUCGAUAGGAAGUUAAAUUGUUUUAAGUCCAGUGUGCUGUGUUGUCGUCUUCGCACGGUGGGUAUUCAGGGCCAAAGCAAAGGGACACAAGGCUUAUAUGUAAAUGUCCUUAGAUGCUACGUACCAAAUAUAUAGAUAGAUAUUAUAUUUUUUUUUACGACAUAAUCACUUCUCAUUCAUGAAUACGAGUUGGCACACGUACAUGUUUAUAUAAAUCUAUGUACACACACACACACACACACACACACACACACACACACACACACACACACACACACUCGUCCAUGGAUAUGUGUCUUGGUUCUUGUAAGUUAGCGCGGUCAAAACUAAGGUCAUGAGAUACCUUCGGUCAACGCACUAAACUAGGCGGCUCUAAAAAACGCCAAACUUAUACCUUAAGUUAAUACAUAUAUAUAAAAGCCACUGUAUUGAUUGUCUUUGUACUCGGUUCCGUGCUAUCAAUGUGCUUUCCUCCUCCUCCCCCCCUACUCUCUCUCUCUCUCUCUCUCUCUCUCUCUCUCUCUCUCUCUCUCUCUCUCUCUCUCUCUCUCUCUCUCUCUCUCUCUCUCUCUCUCUCUCUCUCUCUCUCUCUCUCUCUCUCUCUCAAGAUAGACACGGACACGUAAAGAUAGAGACAGGCCUAAAAAAAAGAAAGAUAUUCGGCACUCGUACAGAACACGUACCAUCACGGUCCACAUUCUUAAACUAUUCGGCGCCCAAACACACACAUUUGACAAGGCCUUCGUAGGAGUUGAGGGGCGUUAGAGGUAGUAUUAUGGCAGUUCUAUUGCGUUUAAUGCAUGGGUAGUUUUUAUGGUGGUAGUUUGGUGGAACCUCUGAACCAUGAACGGAAAGGAAAAAAAAAACACUCCUGGGAACGGGUUAUAUUAUUUAUGGUGUGUUAUGGCAGUUCUAUGAUGCUAUAUGCAUGGGUAGUUUUUAUGGUGGUAGUUUGACGGAGCCUCUGAACCAUAAACGUGAAAGGAAAAACAGUCUUGGGAAUGGGUUAAACCUCUUUCUUUUUUAGCCUUUAGAAAUAGUAAUUGAUGGGCGAGUCGGAAGCGUCUAAAAAUAUUUGCCGAUUAUAUAUUUUUUUUCUGCCUGUACAUUCUUAAUUUCUUAUACCUAUAGAAAUGUAUAUCCUUGCAUUUUUAGUUUAAGAAAGACAAACACACACACACACACACACACACACACACACACACACACACACACACACACACACACACACACACACACACACACAAACAAACAAACAUAUACACACACAA